AUUGAACGCUGGCGGCAUGCCUUACACAUGCAAGUCGAACGGUAACAGGUCUUCGGAUGCUGACGAGUGGCGAACGGGUGAGUAAUACAUCGGAGCGUGCCCGAUCGUGGGGGAUAACGCAGCGAAAGCUGUGCUAAUACCGCAUACGAUCUACGGAUGAAAGCGGGGGAUCGCAAGACCUCGCGCGGACGGAGCGGCCGAUGGCAGAUUAGGUAGUUGGUGGGAUAAAAGCUUACCAAGCCGACGAUCUGUAGCUGGUCUGAGAGGACGACCAGCCACACUGGGACUGAGACACGGCCCAGACUCCUACGGGAGGCAGCAGUGGGGAAUUUUGGACAAUGGGCGCAAGCCUGAUCCAGCCAUGCCGCGUGCAGGAUGAAGGCCUCGGUUGUAAACUGCUUUGUACGGUAACGAAAGGUACGUUUCUAAUAAAGUAAGGACGUCAUGACGGUACCGUAACGAAUAAGACACCGGCGUAACUACGUGCC
rnacentral:rRNA from 1 species